rnacentral:rRNA from 1 species
AGCUGAUCAGCAAUGCCGCGUGUGUGAUGAAGGCCUUCGGGUUGUAAAGCACUUUUGUCCGGAAAGAAAUCCUUGGCUCUAAUACAGUCGGGGGAUGACGGUACCGGAAGAAUAACCACCGGCUAACUACGUGCCAGCAGCCGCGGUAAUACGUAUGGUGCGAGCGUUAAUCGGAAUUACUGGGCGUAAAGCGUGCGCAGGCGGUUUGCUAAGACCGAUGUGAAAUCCCCGGGCUCAACCUGGGAACUGCAUUGGUGACUGGCAGGCUACAGUAUGGCAGAGGGGGGUAGAAUUCCACGUGUAGCAAUGAAAUGCGUGAAGAUGUGGAGGAAUACCGAUGGCGAAGGCAGCCCCCUGGGCCAAUACUGACGCUCAUGCACGACCGCGUGUGGAGAAUACACGAUGGCAUACCCCCUGUAGUCAAAA